rnacentral:ncRNA from 1 species
UAUCUUCAGGGCAGGGUGAAAUUCCCGAUCGGCGGUACAGUCCGCGAGCCGAAUGGCUGACCCGGUGCGACUCCGGGACCGACAGUUACAGUCUGGAUGGAAGAAGAG